CUCUUCUCGUCAGGAUUCCGACCAAUAUACAGAGUGCAAAAAUGUUCCUGUCAUGCACAAUAAUUGGAAUAGCAUUGCUGUUUUUGGUGGUUUUAUUCUUUAAGCAAAGCGUUAAAAAUAACACAAAUCCGUGUGAGCAGAUACGUACCAACACAAAUGGAAGCAUGAUGUGUUCUUGCGAAUCUGGAUACAGCAUAAGUACUAUGGAC